GACGAACGCUGGCGGCGUGCCUAAUACAUGCAAGUUGAGCGCUGAAGGUUGGUCCUUGUACUAACUGGAUGAGCAGCGAACGGGUGAGUAACGCGUGGGGAAUCUGCCUUUGAGCGGGGGACAACAUUUGGAAACGAAUGCUAAUACCGCAUAAAAACUUUAAACACAAGUUUUAAGUUUGAAAGAUGCAAUUGCAUCACUCAAAGAUGAUCCCGCGUUGUAUUAGCUAGUUGGUGAGGUAAAGGCUCACCAAGGCGAUGAUACAUAGCCGACCUGAGAGGUUGAUCGGCCACAUGGGGACGAGGACACGCCCCAAACUCUUCCGGGAGGCAGCAGAAGGGAAUCUUCGGCAAUGGAGGAAAGUCGAACCGAGCAAGCCGGCGUGAGUGAAGAGGGUUUUCGGAUCGUAAAACUCUGUUGGUAGAGAAGAACGUUGGUGGGAGUGGAAAGCUCAUCAAGUGAGGGAACUACCCAGAAAGGGACGGCUAACUACGUG
rnacentral:rRNA from 1 species